UACGGGGGGGGGUAAGCGUUGUCCAGAAUUAUUGGGCGUAAAGAGCUCGUAGGCGGUCUGUCGCGUCGGAUGUGAAAACCCAGGGCUCAACCCUGGGCCUGCAUUCGAUACGGGCAGACUAGAGUUCGGUAGGGGAGACUGGAAUUCCUGGUGUAGCGGUGAAAUGCGCAGAUAUCAGGAGGAACACCGGUGGCGAAGGCGGGUCUCUGGGCCGAAACUGACGCUGAGGUGCGAAAGCGUGGGGAGCAAACAGG
rnacentral:rRNA from 1 species